GGUCGCUUAGCUCAGCUGGGAGAGCACCUGCCUUACAAGCAGGGGGUCACAGGUUCGAACCCUGUAGCGACCA
rnacentral:tRNA from 1 species